GAAAAAGCAAGGGGAAUUAUUAUUCUACAAAGAUAUGGAGCUUUACCAUGAAGUCUGCGUGCUGCAAACAUGAGAUAGUCAUUCAGACAGACCC